rnacentral:rRNA from 1 species
AUUGAACGCUGGCGGCAGGCCUAACACAUGCAAGUCGAGCGGAUGAAGGGAGCUUGCUCCUGGAUUCAGCGGCGGACGGGUGAGUAAUGCCUAGGAAUCUGCCUGGUAGUGGGGGAUAACGUCCGGAAACGGGCGCUAAUACCGCAUACGUCCUGAGGGAGAAAGUGGGGGAUCUUCGGACCUCACGCUAUCAGAUGAGCCUAGGUCGGAUUAGCUAGUUGGUGGGGUAAAGGCUUACCAAGGCGACGAUCCGUAACUGGUCUGAGAGGAUGAUCAGUCACACUGGAACUGAGACACGGUCCAGACUCCUACGGGAGGCAGCAGUGGGGAAUAUUGGACAAUGGGCGAAAGCCUGAUGCAGCCAUGCCGCGUGUGUGAAGAAGGUCUUCGGAUUGUAAAGCACUUUAAGUUGGGAGGAAGGGAAGUAAGUUAAUACCUGGCUGUUUUGACGUUACCAACAGAAUAAGCACCGGCUAACUUCGUG